GAUGAACGCUGGCGGCGUGCCUAAUACAUGCAAGUCGAGCGAACAGACGAGGAGCUUGCUCCUCUGACGUUAGCGGCGGACGGGUGAGUAACACGUGGAUAACCUACCUAUAAGACUGGGAUAACUUCGGGGAACCGGAGCUAAUACCGGAUAAUAUAUUGAACCGCAUGGUUCAAUAGUGAAGGACGGUUUUGCUGUCACUUAUAGAUGGAUCCGCGCCGCAUUAGCUAGUUGGUAAGGUAACGGCUUACCAAGGCAACGAUGCGUAGCCGACCUGAGAGGGUGAUCGGCCACACUGGAACUGAGACACGGUCCAGACUCCUACGGGAGGCAGCAGUAGGGAAUCUUCCGCAAUGGGCGAAAGCCUGACGGAGCAACGCCGCGUGAGUGAUGAAGGUCUUCGGAUCGUAAAACUCUGUUAUUAGGGAAGAACAAAUGUGUAAGUAACUAUGCACGUCCUGACGGUACCUAAUCAGAAAGCCACGGCUAACUACGUG
rnacentral:rRNA from 1 species